UACGUAGGGUGCAGGCGUUAAUCGGAAUUACUGGGCGUAAAGCGUGCGCAGGCGGUUUGCUAGGACAGGUGUGAAAUCCCCGGGCUUAACCUGGGAACUGCGCUUGUUACUGGCAGGCUUGAGUGUGGCAGAGGGGGGUGGAAUUCCACGUGUAGCAGUGAAAUGCGUAGAGAUGUGGAGGAACACCGAUGGCGAAGGCAGCCCCCUGGGCUAACACUGACGCUCAUGCACGAAAGCGUGGGGAGCAAACAGG
rnacentral:rRNA from 1 species